CCUACGGGAGGCAGCAGUGAGGAAUAUUGGUCAAUGGACGAGAGUCUGAACCAGCCAAGUAGCGUGAAGGAUGACUGCCCUAUGGGUUGUAAACUUCUUUUAUAAAGGAGUAAAACGAGGCACGUGUGCCUUUUUGCAUGUACUUUAUGAAUAAGGAAAGGCUAACUCCGUUCCAGCAGCCACGGGAAUUCGGUGGGUCCGAGCGUUACCCGGAUUUAUUGGGUUUAAAGGGAGGGUAGGGGGGUUUGUCAGUUAGUUGUGAAAAUUUGGGGCUCAACCUGAACAGUGCAGUUGAUACUGGAAGUCUUGAGUGCAGAAGAGGUAGGCGGAAUGCGUGGUGUAGCGGUGAAAUGCGUAGAUAUCACGAAGAACCCCGAUUGCGAAGGCAGCUUACUGGACUGUGACUGACGUUGAGGCUCGAAAGUGUGGGUAUCAAACAGGAUUAGAUACCCCGGUAGUC
rnacentral:rRNA from 1 species